AUUGAACGCUGGCGGCAUGCCUAACACAUGCAAGUCGAACGGAAACGAUGGAGCUUGCUCCAGGCGUCGAGUGGCGGACGGGUGAGUAACGCAUGGGAAUCUGCCUUUUGCUGGGGGAUAACGUAGGGAAACUUACGCUAAUACCGCAUAAGACCUAAGGGUGAAAGCGGGGGACCGAAAGGCCUCGCGGCAAGAGAUGAGCCCAUGUUGGAUUAGCUAGUUGGUGGGGUAAAGGCCUACCAAGGCGACGAUCCAUAGCUGGUCUGAGGGGAUGAUCAGCCACACGGGGACUAGGACACGGCCCAGCCUCCUACGGGAGGCAGCGGUGGGGAUUAUUCGACAAGGGGGGGAACCCUGAUCCAGCAAUGCCGCGUGUGUGAAGAAGGCCUUCGGGUUGUAAAGCACUUUCAGUAGGGAGGAAAGGUGCGUAGUUAAUACCUGCGCAAUUGACGUUACCUACAGAAGAAGCACCGGCUAACUCCGUG
rnacentral:rRNA from 1 species